AUAAACAGGAGUUGACUCUCUAAGACAGACACCAGUUUGGCUUCACUUGACUGGAUUCAGGAUUCUUUAUUUCUGGACUCCAGUGAUCUGCCUCCUUACAUAACCUUCCUGGAUAGUUUCUGCAUCUCUUCGAAAUCAGAUCAUCUCCUUAUCCAGCUGCAUCAUGUCAACUAAUCUAGUUUUAAGUACCUAUGAUGUCCUGUGGCAAGACAACCAGGAUGUUGCCGAGCAGUCCCUUAAGCAGCCAUUUCUGCAGCACAUGCAGUCUGGGGACCUGCAGGCUGAUGACUAUAUGAAGUUCAUGAUCCAGGACAUCAACUACUUGGUGAAGGUCACAGAGAUGCUGGAGGAGAUGUCUAAGAGAAACAUGGAAAAUGACAUCUAUUUGUUCAUGGUGGACAGAUACAAGAGCUACAAGAAAUAUGCAGACGCAA